rnacentral:piRNA from 1 species
UGACAAUAGUUUAUAGUAUCAUGGGAAUC